rnacentral:tRNA from 1 species
CUGGCGGGGAGCGCCGCGUUCGGCGCCGCGCGGCGCGCUGGCGACGCGCCGGCCGCGAUCGCGUUCGCGCCGCCGGGC